CAGAGAAUAGUUUAUUUAAAAUAUUAAUUUUGGAGAUUAAUGAAAAGGGCUUUCUUUUCUCUGA
rnacentral:tRNA from 1 species